GAUGAACGCUGGCGGCGUGCCUAAUACAUGCAAGUCGAGCGAACGGACGAGAAGCUUGCGUCUCUGAUGUUGGCGGCGGACGGGUGAGUAACACGUGGAUAACCUACCUCUAAGACUGGGAUAACUUCGGGAAACCGGAGCUACUACCGGAGGAUAUUUUGAACCGCAUGGUUCAAAAGUGAAAGACGGUCUUGCUGUCACUUAUAGAUGGAUCCGCGCUGCAUUAGCUAGUUGGUAAGGUAACGGCCUACCAAGGCAACGAUGCAUAGCCGACCCGAGAGGGUGAUCGGCCACACUGGAACUGAGACACGGUCCAGACUCCUACGGGAGGCAGCAGUAGGGAAUCUUCCGCAAUGGGCGAAAGCCUGACGGAGCAACGCCGCGUGAGUUAUGAAGGUCUUCGGAUCGUAAAACUCUGUUAUUAGGGAAGAACAUAUGUGUAAGUAACUGUGCACAGCUUGACGGUACCUAAUCAGAAAGCCACGGCUAACUACGUG
rnacentral:rRNA from 1 species